CUAAGUUUAAUUUCUAGAAAAUAAUAAAAAGACCAAAAAUAUGCAUGAUGGAAAUGAUGAACAGUUGCUCUGUUUGCUUACUUACAAGUACCUAGCUUUUAUAUUAGAAUUCUUCCAGAAAUUACUAAAACUAAAAUUACUAUCUUUGGGAAGCAUAACACUAAAGUCUAGGUAAGAGAAAGGCAUGAUAUAAAGUUGAGCUACUGUUUAUCUUGUUCCUACUACACUAAAUUCUAGAGAUUUAUUUUGAAAACUUACAAAUCACAUGAUGAGUUCCUAGCAUAACAAAACUACCUACCACAGCCAUACUUGCUAUAACAUCUUUUACUAUAUUUACAUUGAGUUUGAUCGAGCUGUGUAGACCCUUAGGAGCUUUUCAUGUGGUUAAAUAAAGAUAUUCACUUGCACACAUCUACCAUAGCAUUCAUUAUCAAUCAUUUAAAUUGCUAAAAAAUAUUAUCACUCACUGUCCCAAGUAUUGUUAUUCUUUCUCUCUAAAAAGAUUCAAUGCAGAAGAGGCAUGGGUUAUGCAAAAAUAUACGAGGAAAUAAAAAGGGGCAAGUGCCCGGAACCUCGGAAAAAGAAAGAAAAAGAGUGAGACGAGAGGUAAAAAUGGACAAGUGUCCGAAGUAGAAUUAGGGGUACAAAGAUGCCCACUUGAGCGGAAAAAAAUGGACAAGUGUCUGACAGUAGAAUUAGGGGUAUCUACUACCCACCUGAAAAAAAAAAGAAGAGAAAAAGAUAGCCCAUGUUCUCCCAAAGCAAAGAUCAAAGAAGAGGAGAGAUAGCAAUAUGAGGAGCAAUGAGAAGUAAAUUUUAUUAUCACUUAUGCAUUUUCACCAUCACUAUCAUUUACUCCAUCACACAUGCACGUCUUGAUUUAAUUAUAUGUUGAGUUCCUUUGGAUCCAUGGCUCGAUUAGACGAUAUAUGUAUGAGCUGUUUUCCACUCCUAUGAGCUCCACUUAAAUAUUAAAUUAGCUAAAGGUAAGUGACAUUAUGGUAAGGAUCCACAAAUACCACAUAUAGAGAGACUUGAGAGAAUCAUUGCUAGGAACUCUGAGUUUUAUUUUUGAAAACUUAUGAAAAACUCUGGAACAAAGGUGAAGUAUAAACAGGAGGGAUAGUGCUUGACUUAACUAUUUUGUCUUUCGAUUACUUAAGACUUAAGUGCAGGUACUAAACUUCAUAACACUUCACUUUAAUCGGGAAGAAUUUUUAUGUAAAAGCAUGUGUGCCUGUCAGGAAAGAAAACAUCGAAGCAACUCCUGAUCCAUCUAAGUUUAGCUGUUUGCUCAGGGACGAGCAAAGGGUAAGCUUGGGGG
rnacentral:lncRNA from 1 species